rnacentral:ncRNA from 2 species
AAAAAUAUCGGUGAUGGAGUUCACCGUAAUGCCCCAUAGAUGGCUGAUGACUCCUAGUAUAUU